UUCCAGAAGUCUGUGGGGAAAACAGCCCCUGACUCUGAGAUUGCUGAGGAGUCAUCACAGCCCAUAGGAGAGACCUUGAGACCAAUGUGGGGGCUGAUGGACAAGUGCUACCCAGUGACCACUCAGAGACAUAAAGUCAACACUGGAAAGAAGCAAGCCUCUGGG